rnacentral:rRNA from 1 species
ACUCCAGGGAGACUGCCGGUGAUAAACCGGAGGAAGGUGGGGACGACGUCAAGUCAUCAUGGCCCUUACGAGUAGGGCUACACACGUGCUACAAUGGCGCAUACAGAGGGCGGCCAACUUGCGAAAGUGAGCGAAUCCCAAAAAGUGCGUCGUAGUCCGGAUUGGAGUCUGCAACUCGACUCCAUGAAGUCGGAAUCGCUAGUAAUCGUGGAUCAGAAUGCCA